rnacentral:rRNA from 1 species
UACGUAGGGCGCAAGCCGUUAUCCGGAAUUAUUGGGCGUAAAGAGCUCGUAGGCGGUUUGUCGCGUCUGCCGUGAAAGUCCAGGGCUCAACCCUGGGAUGCCGGUGGAUACUGUCGGGCUAGAGUACGGAAGAGGCGGAGUGGAAUUCCUGGUGUAGCGGUGAAAUGCGCAGAUAUCAGGAAGAACACCCGUGGCUAAGGCGGCUCUCUAGUACGGUACUGACGCUGAGACGCGAAAAGCGUGGGGAGCGAACAGG